rnacentral:rRNA from 1 species
CCCUUAGAUGUUCUGGGCCGCACGCGCGCUACACUGAUGCAUUCAACGAGCCUAUCCUUGACCGACAGGUCCGGGUAAUCUUUGAAUCUGCAUCGUGACGGGGGUAGAUUAUUGCAAUUAUUAAUCUUCAACGAGGAAUGCCUAGUAGGCGCAAGUCAUCAGCUUGCGUCGAUUACGUCCCUGCCCUUUGUACACACCGCCCGUCGCUCCUACCGAUUGGGUGUGCUGGUGAAAUGUUCGGAUCGGCCGUUUGUCGCGGUUUCCGCGUCAUGUGGCUGAGAAGUUCAUUAAACCCUCCCACCUAGAGGAAGGAGAAGUCGUAACA